rnacentral:tRNA from 1 species
CAAACUCUCUUCUAUAAGGAAGUUUAUUGGUUACGUCAAUUUUUUUACUGUGCGAUUCAGUAGGGUUUGA